AGUUUUAUUGGACAGAGGCAGUAGAUAUCUACUGGAAACAGUAGAGAGGGAGGAGAUGAUAUGCAGCAUACGGCCCAGCCGGAUGGUUGCUGCUCCGUGUGGAACGUGUUCUAUCAGGUGUAACAUCUACCAAUGGUUGUACAUGACAGAGACCUCCUCCACCUCUUUGCUGUCUUACUAGUCAAUCCUUCUGAUCAGGUCCUUUCCUAAAUAGUGAAAGGAUCAUGCCAGCCCACAUCAAACACCUGAUCAAGAACUUGUGAAUCUCACUGCUGCGGACACCUGUGUGAUAUUCCACUCUGACUGGAACCCUCAAAAUGACCUGCAGGCUCAAGCUCGGUGUCAUCGUUUUGGCCAGUCUAAGGCGGUGAAGGUGUACCGUCUGAUCACUAGAAACUAUGAGAGGGAAAUGCUGGAUAAAGCUAGUCUGAAGCUCGGGCUGGACCGUGCCGUACUGCAGAGCAUGAGUGGCAACAACAACGGGCCGGUCCAGCAGUUCUCCAAGAAGGAGAUCGAGGACCUGCUGAGGAAAGGAGCCUACGCCGCCAUCAUGGACGAGAACGACGAAGGCAAUCGCUUCUGCUAGGAGGACAUCGACCAGAUCCUGCAGCGAAGAGCCACCAUCAUCACCAUCACCAGUUUGCUUCAAGCAGUGGCUGUACGAGAAAGACGUGGAAGACCAAGAAAUGCUGGCCAGAUUGGCAAAGACCGGAAGAUACAUAACAGAG